ACUCCUACGGGAGGCAGCAGUGGGGAAUAUUGCACAAUGGGCGCAAGCCUGAUGCAGCCAUGCCGCGUGUAUGAAGAAGGCCUUCGGGUUGUAAAGUACUUUCAGCAGUGAGGAAGGCGGAGUCGUUAAUAGCGGCCUCGUUUGACGUUAGCUGCAGAAGAAGCACCGGCUAACUCCGUGCCAGCAGCCGCGGUAAUACGGAGGGUGCGAGCGUUAAUCGGAAUUACUGGGCGUAAAGCGCAUGCAGGUGGUUUGUUAAGUCAGAUGUGAAAGCCCGGGGCUCAACCUCGGAAUUGCAUUUGAAACUGGCAGACUAGAGUACUGUAGAGGGGGGUAGAAUUUCAGGUGUAGCGGUGAAAUGCGUAGAGAUCUGAAGGAUACCGGUGGCGAAGGCGGCCCCCUGGACAGAUACUGACACUCAGAUGCGAAAGCGUGGGGAGCAAACAGGAUUAGAUACCCUGGUAGGAUAGCG
rnacentral:rRNA from 1 species